rnacentral:rRNA from 1 species
UACGAACCGUGCGAACGUUGUUCGGAAUUACUGGGCGUAAAGGGCGCGUAGGCGGCCUUCUAAGUCGAACGUGAAAUCCCUGGGCUCAACCCAGGAACUGCGUCCGAUACUGGAAGGCUUGAAUCCGGGAGAGGGAUGCGGAAUUCCAGGUGUAGCGGUGAAAUGCGUAGAUAUCUGGAGGAACACCGGUGGCGAAGGCGGCAUCCUGGACCGGUAUUGACGCUGAGGCGCGAAAGCCAGGGGAGCAAACGGG